AGAAGCAGCCAAAGAAGGAGGAAAGAAACCAGCAGAGAGUUGGCAUGAAAAAUAAAUGCAAGAGUUGCCAGUUAUGUGGGCUAUGAUUCAAGCCAUGGUUACGGCUCUGCUGCUGGAAGAAGGAUUCACCUGGUUUUGUGGUCUCGCUCUUCAGAAAUUGUAAUCAUUAUCCAUCCUAAGGACGGAGGAAUCAACGUUUCGGUAGAGAAGAAUUAGGUGCAACCUAGACAAGUGAGACAUUUCUAUGGUCUGGGUCUGAGAAAACAUGACAGGAAAGAAAGAGAAGGGCUGCAAGGCCACGGGCUCAAAGCAGAGGCUACCGAAGGACAAAUGUGUUACAAAGUGUUAUGAAAUGAAUUGACUUACUAGGAAGGCACAACAUCCAGCAUUACAAAAGGACUGCUCUGCCCUAGCCAUGUCCAGCUGAAUAACUGGCCACUACAUGACCCUCCACACCUCCAGGGUGGAGGCAGAGUUUGUAAGCUUGUGGCCUGCAGACCUAAAGUGGCCCAAAGAUGUAUUCUUUCUGAGCCCUCUCCCAAGUGAUUUGAAAAAUUAAGCCACACUAAAACAACAGGAGAUUUCACGCACACACAAAUUGAGAUUUCUAGCAUCUCUUAAAAGAUAACAAAGAAAUAAGCACUUAAAACUGAACUCAUAUUCCACAUGGCAGCACCAACUGGCCAAGAUUCAGUGGCUGCUGCUCCUUUACAGAGCAACGGCGAUGCUUCUGUGCCAGUGUGUGGCGGUGAAAGCAGGACCCUGGGGCCGGCCUGUCUAGCUGCCCUCCAACUCCACCCCUUACUAGCUGUGGGAACUUGUUAACUGUUCUGUUCCUCCGUUUACUCAUCAGUAAAAUGUGAUUCAUUGUGCUUAUCUAUUAGGUUGUUGUAAAGAUUAAAUAAAUUAACAAGUAUACUGCGCUUCAACUAGUGCCAUGUAAAUAUAGUAGUAUUACAAAAGCCUUUGAUAUUAUUACUAAUAUAGUAUUAAUAUCUUGUCUUCUAAAUUAUUUAGUUAUGUUAAUCCUCCUAAGAAUCCUGUAAGGUAGGUGAAGAAACUGAGGCAUGGAGAGGUUGGAAAACCUGCCUAAACUUGUCACAUGGUCACAUUGCACAUUACUAGUAAGCAGUGAAACCUCCUCAGGGGUCUGUGAUCUAAACCACCAUGCUAUAGAAUGACAUUCCUUUAGGUGGGACCCACACUCUCCAGUUUUCCUUAGUACUCACCAUUUCCACAGCAUAUGCAUAUAAAUGUGCACAUUCCUUUUCUAUCUUCCCAUCCACUGCCCUGUCCUCCUUUGGGUUAUCUCCCUGGCCCCUGCAUGCAUUUGAGUUUGGAACCCCUAGUCUAGAAAAGUGGAUAUGCUGAAUAGCUGACUGUGUCCUCCAGGUAGAUUACCUCUCCCAAUAAGGCUUUUAUGAAGAGCCAAAGAGAAGACAAAUUGUGCCCAGUGAGGGUCUAUUUUAGUGUGGGUAGUCUGUGAUAGCAGACAAGCAGCAU
rnacentral:lncRNA from 1 species